rnacentral:rRNA from 1 species
AUUGAACGCUGGCGGCAUGCUUUACACAUGCAAGUCGAACGGUAACAGGCCGCAAGGUGCUGACGAGUGGCGAACGGGUGAGUAAUGCAUCGGAACGUGCCCAGUCGUGGGGGAUAACUACUCGAAAGAGUAGCUAAUACCGCAUACGAUCUAUGGAUGAAAGCGGGGGACCGUAAGGCCUCGCGCGAUUGGAGCGGCCGAUGUCAGAUUCGGUAGUUGGUGGGGUAAAGGCUCACCAAGCCAACGAUCUGUAGCUGGUCUGAGAGGACGACCAGCCACACUGGGACUGAGACACGGCCCAGACUCCUACGGGAGGCAGCAGUGGGGAAUUUUGGACAAUGGGCGCAAGCCUGAUCCAGCAAUGCCGCGUGCAGGAAGAAGGCCUUCGGGUUGUAAACUGCUUUUGUACGGAACGAAACGGCUCUGGUUAAUACCCGGGGCUAAUGACGGUACCGUAAGAAUAAGCACCGGCUAACUACGUG